UACGUAGGGGGCAAGCGUUGUCCGGAAUCAUUGGCGUAAAGAGCGUGUAGGCGGCCCGAUAAGUCCGCCGUGAAAGUCCAGGGCUCAACCCUGGAAUGCCGGUGGAAACUGUCGGGCUGGAGUCCGGAAGAGGCGAGUGGAAGUUCCUGGUGAUAGCGGUGAAAUGCGUAGAUAUCAGGAGGAAUACCGGUGGCGAAAGCGACUCUCUGGACGGCAACUGACGCUGAGGCACGAAAAGCGUGGGGAGCAAACAGG
rnacentral:rRNA from 1 species